rnacentral:rRNA from 1 species
CCUACGGGCGGCAGCAGUGAGGAAUAUUGGUCAAUGGCCGUAAGGCUGAACCAGCCAAGUCGCGUGAAGGAAGAAGGAUCUAUGGUUUGUAAACUUCUUUUAUAGGGGAAUAAAGGUAUCCACGUGUGGCUAUUUGCAUGUACCCUAUGAAUAAGCAUCGGCUAACCCCGUGCCAGCAGCCGCGGUAAUACGGAGGAUGCGAGCGUUAUCCGGAUUUAUUGGGUUUAAAGGGUGCGUAGGUUGUUUUUUAAGUCAGCGGUGAAAGUUUGUGGCUCAACCAUAAAAUUGCCGUUGAAACUGGAAGACUUGAGUGUGUUUGAGGUAGGCGGAAUGCGUGGUGUAGCGGUGAAAUGCAUAGAGAUCACGCAGAACUCCGAUUGCGAAGGCAGCUUACUAAGCCAUAACUGACACUGAAGCGCGAAAGCGUGGGGAUCAAACAGGAUUAGAUACCCUUGUAGUC